rnacentral:lncRNA from 1 species
CAUAAAGAUUAAAGGUUUUCAGACAUUUCAUAUGAAUGCAGCUUGGAAGACUCUUAAGUUCCUUGCAAUCUCUUAGGUUUAAAUGAAUCAACCCCGUGAGAUUAUUAAUUGACUCGGACAGUUCUUUAAUUUUGGACUUGGAUAAAUUAAGCUCUUGUAACUCCUCCAUACCUUCUGAAAUCUCUGGAAACAUCUCAAGGCUCACGCAGCCAAAAAGAUCAAGAGUUUUGAGAGAUUGCAUACGAAUUUUGCAGGGUAGAAUCUUAAGUUUUUCGCACCCUUUCAGAUCCAAUAAAACAAGUUUUGUAAGAUUCGAAAUAGAUGGGUGAACCUUAACUAACCCUCCACAACCAUGAAGAAUUAGCCUCUCAAGAUUUGGCACAUUUGUGAAGUCAGGGGUUUCCUUAAGGUAUGAACAAUAACUUAAAUUGAUGAAUUUCAACUUUUCCUGCGUCUGUUAAAACAUUCAGGAAAACAUGCAUUACUUAAUAAGACAUCUCACUCAAAGCCCAAACAUUUAAAAGAAACAAAUACAUGUAAAUGAUUGCACAUACCUGGGUUCCUUCCCAAAGUCGGUCAAUGUGGCUAUAUUGCAUGUCAAGUCCAACAAGAUUUUCGAAUUGAAAGUUGGAUGGCAAAGACUUGAGCGGGAAACAAGACCAGGAAAGAAACCUCAACUCACUAGAAACAAACUUUAAGGACCCAGUCAGGUGUUGUAUGCUGAAAGUACCGAUCUUGAGAAGUCUUAGUUUAGUCAUCCUAUCAAAAGCUUUAACAAUUAAGCAUCCCUCAUAUGAGUGCCCCAAAUCUAGGAUUAUGCUUUUAACUGUUUCUGUACCCUGUGCAAAUCAAAGGGAAGGAAAAAGCAGAGAACCUUAGUUUAGAUUAUGAAGUUAAUGGUUGUUUCUUAAGGAGUUGUUUGAUAAUAAUUUUGUUUUCACUUUUCACUUUUGUUUUGAUUAUUUAUUUAGAAAUCUGAAAAUUGAAAACAUAUAACUUGUUUGUAAUUGUUUUCAAUUUUCAAUUAUUAAAAAAAUGAAAAUUAAAAAUUAAAAAUGGAAACAAAAGUGGUUAUCAAACGAGCUUAAGAAAUUGAUUUUGGUCAAAAGUUGAAGCUUUCUACUAAACAUUGCAUAAGAAGAGAAAUUAUCACCGUAUUUUUAGUUAUCACAUGAAGAACAUCUUCAUAACUCCACAACCUACUUCGUUUCCCAGGCUCUUCGAUAGAUUCUUGCUGGACGAUUUUCCGACCCAUUUCCUCUAGUAAAUCAUGCAUCUCCAGUUCCCCCUUCCAUGAGACAGUUACUAGAGCUCGAUCGAUUAAAACUUUUAUUCCAAUAUCAGGAUAGGAACCACAGCUGUGCAGAACUUCGGUUGCAUAGUCUUUUCUCAUUCCUUUAAAGAAACAUGCAAUAUCUAGAAAGAUAUCCUUCUCCGUGUCAUCUAGUCCAUCGAAGCUUGUUUUAAGCACAUCAUGAAUUCCCUUUUGCGGGAUUUUCUUUAUUUUUUCUAACUCAUUUUCCCACUGGCGUACAUUUUUGUUAUCAAGAAAAGCUCCCAAGACUUUGAGUGCUAAAGGCAGACCUUGAGCAUAUUUUACAGCACGCCUCGAGAGAUCAUCAUAAUCUCUGUUGGGUUGGUUUUUUCUAAAGGCGUACCGCCUAAAGAGUUCCAGAGCUCCAUUAUCACUUAAAAUCUUGGGAUUAUAUAUCUCAUCAGCUAUGCUUAGUAAUUGCGAAUCUCUGGUUGUUAUAAUAAUUCUGCUUCCACCACCAAAGGAAUGUGGUUCUUUAAGUAAAGCUUCAAUUUGUUCUAAUUCUUCCACAUCAUCAACAACAAUAAGAACUUUUCUCCGACCUAGGCUAUUUAACACCACCUGGAAACCUUUAUUCGAAACGUCGGAACUCCCCACCUUGUUGUUCGAGAUACUCGAUAGAAGUUCUGCCUGCAUAUAUAGUUUGCCAUGCUUUAUGAAACCUUCCUUGAAAUUUUCAAGAAAGCAACAAGCUUUAAAUCCACCAGAGAUUUCAUCAUAAACAGCUCUAGCGAUGGUUGUUUUGCCUAAACCACCCAUACCCCAUAUUCCAACAAUGCGAACAUCAUUAGUUUCAACUCCAGGAGGAUACAAUAAUGAAUGCAUGUUAUGCAUAUGAGAGUCCAUUUCAACCAAGCCAUUAUCUUUGCUUGAUGAUGAUGAGAUGUGGAUCAAUUUCUUAAAAACAUCUUCUACAAUUUUCUCAAUAAGCUCUGCAUCAUCCCUGUCAAAUUUAAAAAACAAUAUAAUAACACCACCAAAUAAUACUUAAUGGGUCUUUUUCAUCUGUUAGUUUAAAAAAAAUAGAAAUUAAAACUAAAACUAAAAUCUAAACGUUAUAAAAAUCCCAAAAAUUAAUAGGAAACUAAAACAAAUUAGAAUUUACUCAUAUUUCGCGAAUCCCAGCCGGAUAAACUGGUGGCAAUUGUAAGAGCGGAUCUCCAGCUCUGAACCUCUUCCAUUUCAGCGUUAGAAUCACGAUCGUGCUGAGCAAAAGCUUCCUCGAAUUUUCUCUUGAGUUUACGAACGUCAGACGGAUCAACUUCAUAGAAAAUGGGGAGUACAAUCUGGUUAUUGGUAUCCUUGCAUUUCAAGAUUUGCACGAGUUCUUUCAAGCACCAAGUGGAAGAAGCAUAGUCUUGAGAGAAAACUACAAUCGAAAGCCUUGACUCUCGAAUCGCUGUCAGGAGCUCAGAAAGGUGGUCGCCUUUUCUGAGCUUCUCGGCAUCAAUGAAGGCGUUGAUUGGUUUCUUAACCAGAGCGUUGUAGAGAUGGCUGACGAAGCCCCUGCGAGUGUCUUCCCCUCUGAAAUUGAUGAACACAUCGUAUUUGCAACCAAGGCCAGAAGAAGAUGAAGAAGAAGAAGCAGCCAUUAUUAAUCGAUCGCACCUGGUCAGCGACGAUCGAGCAGCUAAGACUAAGAGAAUUGUAAGUACAGAGAUACUCAAUAGAUCUACAAAUUGGAUCACCGGAAAUUAGUCUGAUCGAUACCAAGUCAAUGAGUCAAUGCAAAAGUAAAAAGGGGAAAGGGAAAUUAUGCUUUAUGUUUUUUCACAUCUUCUUCGGGGAAAUUUCGGUGUGAAAGGAAUCUUAUCCUUUUGAUUUUUUAACCGAAGCAAAUGCGAAGAAAAGGGUCAAAGUGGUAAAUUGAAUAUACACUUGCCUAUCCAACAACCUCUUAAUUUAAUAUAUUUAAUUGAGAAAAGUAGUUUAGAGGAAGAGGUAUUCAUCAAUUCCCCAUAAACUUGUGACCAUUGGCCAAUUUUCCCCCUCAACUUUAAUUUUGGCCAAUUUCUUCCCUAAACUCUCAUAAUUAGUUAAUUUCCCCCAUCAACUUUAAUUUGGUCAAUUUCCCCCCUCAACUCUCAUAAUUAGUCAAUUUGCACCCUACUGUUAAUUUUUUAUUUAUUUUUCAUCUAUUCUUUUUUUUUUCUUUCAAUCUUUCUAAUAACUUCCAACAAAAUACUAAAAUUAAUAUAAACUCACCUGCAUAAUAUAGGGUAAAAUGUACAAAAACAUAAUACCAUUAGUAUGUGAUAUGGGUUGAUUAUAAGAAAAAGUUAUGAAUCGGGUUUAAAUCAUGUAGAAGAAGAAACAAUAAUCCUAAACUCAUGGAUCAGACCUAUUUCAAUAAAAUGGGUUAUUCUUAAUAAGGAGUCGAAAAUUAUGAAUUGACUAGCCAUUUUUGCACUAAACCUCGAUUCUCCGCAAUUUACUUGAACUUAGCUUUCACUUUUAUAAAGAAAAUUGUAUUCACAUACAAAAAUGUACACAUCAAUCCUUUUCGUUAUCAAUUUUGUAUAGUAAAAAAUCAAAUAAAAUUACUCCAUACUAAUUUAUUAUGACUAAUAAUACUAUUUAUGAUAAAUUGUAAAAUUCUAAAUUUUAAUCUAUUUGUAAUAGGAUAAAGACAUAGGAAAAUGAUUAACAUACAUCUUAUUUAGUUUCUUACACACACUUGUUUAAUUAUGAUCAAAUUAAAAAAUUAACAGUAGGGUGCAAAUUGACUAAUUAUAAGAGUUGAGGGGGGAAAUUGGCCAAAUUAAAGUUGAGGGGGGAAAUUGACUAAUUAUGAGAGUUGAGGGGGGAAAUUGGCCAAAAUUAAAGUUGAGGGGGGAAUUGGCCAAUAGUCACAAGUUCAUGGGGGAAAUUGAUGAAUACCUCUUAGAGGAAUGAUGGUAUCUCUUUUUCUUCUCACUCAAUCUUCCAGCAUGCGAUUUAAUCAUGAUUAAAGCCAAGCUUAAUAAUAGGUCGUAUUAUUUAGGUCGUUUUGGAUUAUAAGUUUUUGUUGUGAACUUGUGAUACGAUAGUUAGAAAAUUAAAAAAAUUAUAAUUUAAAUAUAUGUGGUGAAAUCUGUUAAGAUUUAGAUUCAAAAUUGAAAAUUUCAUUAACUUCAUUAAUUAUUAGCACACGAAGCUUACAAAUGAAAUAAAAAUAAUAAAAUUAGUCUCACAUGUAAUCUCUAUGCGCUAACAAUUAAUAGAGAGAUUCAUUUUAACCUAAAAUGUGUGACUUACGUACUAAUAAUUAACAAAAUAUUGACAAAAUUUUCAAUUUUAAGCAUAAAUCUUAAUAAACUUCAUCUCAUAAACUUAAAUCCUAAUUCAACAAUCUUCUCAUUACCUUACCACUGCAAACUACCUUGCCACUACAAAAAUUAUUAAUCAAAUUAAACUUAUUAUUUACUUACAAAUACGUAACUCAAUCACCGAAAGCUAUCUCCGUUGCUAUCUCCGUUUCUUUGCUGAGUGGACAGCUGUCUCUUUGUCUUCUUUUGGCAGAUAGCUACUAGACUCCUAGUGGCCGGCCUAUUUUCCACAGCUGGUUAUAGGACUCAGUUGCUAUUCAAGAAGUGUUAUGUUGUAAUUCAAUAUUGAUGGAAAUCCAACAGAAUCUUCUUCGAAUUGUUGUGAGCAUUUUGGGAUAUUUUUUAAUCAUAUUCAUUUAUCGUUGUGGGAUCAAUUUUAUUAAAUAUUAUUUAUGUUUAAUUUUAAAUAAAUAAAUUUAAAAUAAAUUUUUAUCGCACGAUAUACUAUGAACGAAUACGAUUCAUAGAUCUCCAAUAUCUUCACAAGAAGAAUCCAAAAGGAUCCGGAUUCAAUGGAAAUAAGCUAAUUUUGAAUCAAAUAACAUUACUUUAUUUUGUAAGUAAAUUAAUUUUAAAUCAAACAACAUUCAUUUAUUAUGUAGCUAAUUAAUUUUGUAUGUGUCAUCAUAUAUAUUAGGCACAUUUUAUUAUAGGUGAUUUUGUGGUAUUCAUUUUCAUUUGUAAGUAAGAGGUCUUAAGUUCGAUUUUCAUCAAAAACGAAUUUAAACUAUAUUAUUGCUAGUCCAUUAUGAGGCCUAACCCACCCUCCUCCCCCUUAGUGUAGAUAGAUCGUUUGUUCAAAAAAAUAUAUAAUCAAAAUAGAAUGUGAAGCGAAACAAUAGAUCAACAUUAUUUAUGUUAAUUAUAAAUAGGUCAACCAUGUAUGUGAUACUUAAAUCAUUUAAAAUAAAAUAAAAAUUACAAAAUCUGCCAUUACAGCUGGCACACACUUUAAUUAACACUUUCUUUCUCAUAAUUUUUAUAUUUGGAAUAAGUCAUACGAAUCAAAUACUACAAUGUAUUAUCUGUUUUUUAAUUCUAUUUUUUACAUUUGGAUUCAGACACUGCGUUGUAGUGUCCAUUUACUGAUUUUGUUUUUUCCAUCACUCACAUGCCUCCUAUAUGUUCCUUUGUACAUUUGGAUUUAGACAAUGCAAUGCAGUGUCUGUUUCUUGGUUCUGGUUUUCUCUUUUGGAUUCAAACGCUGCAUUGCAAUGUAUGUUUCCUAGUCCUAUUUCUUUCAUCAUCCACACGUCUCCUACACUUCACACUUUCAUGCGACUCCUGAUUUUUACAUUUAGAUUCAGACAUUGUAAUGCAAUGUUCAUUUCCUACCUUUGAUUUUUACAUUUAAAUCUAGGGUUAAACUCUGUUUACUACCCUAAUGUUUCGUGGUUUUCUACAUUUAGUACAUCAAAUUUUUUUCAUCCCAGAGUCAUACCUAAAGUGUUAAUUUUGGGACAGUCUCAUACAUCCAUUAGUCAAACUGUUAGUUCUCACGUUAAGUGAUGAUGUGGCGCCCAUGUGGACAAUGACUGGGCCCCACGUGUCAUUAAAAAAUAUUAAAAUAAUUAAUUAUGUAACACCCGCCCCCACUUAUAAAAUUAUAUGUGUGUAAUAUUCCCUAAAUAUUCUGAAUCUAUCAAUUUUACCCUUUUUGGACUACCCUAUCAGGAUCUAAACAUUGGAUCCUUCUUUCUUUUCAAACUGCCACGUGGCAGCUCCCUAGCAAUUUCCCUGUCUUCUCUCUCUGUCCCCCCCCCGUGACUCCUUCUUUCUCUUCUUCUUUUUCUGUUUUCUUUUCUUUCUUCUGUCUGUCUCUCUGUCCCUCCCGACUCUAUCUCUUUCUCUCGUCUCUCUCUCAUAGCUCCCUCAUCUCUCUUCUCUGCAGCAACCCGCACGCACGCACCCAUCUCCCCCGCGCGAAGAAGACCCAUCUCCUUCUUCUCUCUCCCUCUGUCCCGUGCUGCGAGCCCAGAAACCGGAGAGGAACUCCGGCGAAACCUUUAUUUUCCCGGUUGGGACGAAUCGAAGCCGGGUGUAAGCACACCCAACUCCGGCGAUCCCGAGGGUGUCGGGGCUUUUUCCGGCCAUCUCCGAUCGUUCCACGACGAAAGGAAGGUGCAAUUAUUAACGGUGAUUCUGUUAUACCUUCUUGGUAUAGCUUUGCACCGUUGGUGUACGGUGAGUGGACCCCUUCAAAAUCAUGUUUUAACAAUAGAAAUGCAUACAUGAAAAGCAUGAUUUAAUACUUAUGUUUUACGAAGUACUUUAUGAGAUAUAUGCUUACUGAGGCUAGAUUGAAUUAUUACUAUUUUUCCUAUAACCCAUGUUCUUAUAGAAUAUCCGAUGGAUGACGAUAUGAUAUUAGAACAUGUUUAGAACACCUCUUUGUAGUAUAGAUGAUGGAUGACUUUAUACUACGAAGUUGUUUUUCAAUAUGUUAUGCUCAAUGGUUUUGUACUUACCUAGUGGUCCUUUCCGCUACGGGACGUAGGGAUAGAUUCCGGUCCGUCCCGAGCGACGGUUUGGUGUUGGCAUAGGGCCUGGAGUGUGUUUCCUCUGGCUAUUUAGCACAGGGACGGGGAGCCGGCAUGGGGUCUGUAGUGUAUUUUCCUCUGACUGUCUGCUCAGAGACGGGGAGCUGGCAUGGGGCCUGUAGAGUAUCGGACAAUUCACUAGUGUUUAUUACUUAUACAAGUUAUGAAUUUGAGAUAUUGCACGGCAUGCUAGGUUUCGGAAAAUCUAUUUUGAUCAUGAUAUAUGUGUUUUCAUUAAACCUGGGGGUUAGUAUGUUGAUAACUGUUUUAUUAUAUUUAUAUCAAACUGGUCCACUCAUGUUUGUUUUGCGCCCCCUUCAGGACCUACGAACGAGGAUUACGAUAUAAGCUACGAGGCUUUUCCCUAUCAGUGAUCCAGUGCUAUACUUCUUCUGCUUCGAUAUCUUUUGUAAUAUAGCACAUCUCUAUUUUAAAUUCUGUUUGUACUCUGUAAUAGAUGUAUGCUUUGACAUUAUGCGUGGAUCCUAAUGUUGUAAUUAGAAGUUGAAUUUGUAGUAUUAUUGUGGCUAGUCUUGCUGCCUGUUUUAGCUUAUUUGUGAGUUUUUACUUAAAUUAAUGGCUUUCGUCACCCUUUGGGUGUCGGCCAGCACGUGAUAAUCCCGAUGUCACGAGGACAUCGGGAUCGGGGCGUGUCAGAUUGGUAUCAGAGCAUGAUUCAUUCAGAGCAUACUUAGGAUUCUUUUCCACCAUUUGGUAAUUAUAAUUCCCCUUAUAUCCUUAAUUUUCUGUUGUUCUAAAUCUUUCUUGUUUCUUAUCAGAAUUAUGGAUCCCGCUGGUGGGCAUGUACCUCGUCGAGCUCGUUUUGGUAUAGGGGGAGGACUUGAGCAAUUGGCUAAUGUUUUGCGAACUGCCCUUACUGGUAGAUCAUCGAAUCGCACCUAUAUUGAGAUUGCUACCAGUCAUGGUAUUCCAGAGCUUAAGGUAGUGGGAGCCUGUCCGGAGGCUGAGGAAUGGUUAGAGCAGGUGGAAGAUACUCUGGAGGGUAUGAGAUGUCCACCAGGUGAGUGGGCGGAGACUGCUGGGUUUUUUCUUAAGGGUCCUGCAAAGAUUUGGUGGAAAGGAGUGAAGCAUUCUCGUCCACGAGGCACUUCGAUGACUUGGGUGGCAUUCCGGAAAGCUUUCAGUGCACAUUUUCUGAGUCCCAGUUAUCAGUUGAGGAUGAGACAACAAUUUCUGGAGUUUCGUCAAGGCGAUCUGAGUAUCACAGAGAUGGAUAAUACUUUUCGACGCCUGUCGAGACACCAUCCGGUGACUUAUGAUAACCCGAGUGAGAAGAUGGUUCAGUUGCUGGUUUGUUUGAACCCUGAUUAUCGUGAACGAGUGGCAGCUAUAAGGCACAGAAGUUAUGAGGAAAUGAUUGAGACUUGUUUGAGGAUUGAACAAUCUAGGUGGGAGACUCAGCACCAGGAGGAGCAGGCGCAGUAUCAGGAACCACCCAGAUAUCAGGAACAACCUCGGAACCAGAACCAGAGAGGUCAUGGUUUUAGAUCUCGGAGUGUGAGGAAAUCUGGUAGCUCUUCUAACUUUGUUGGCCCUAGACACUCUCAUUCCUUCAAACGUCAGGGUCAAGGUUCAGGUUCUUCCAGCGAGGGUUCGGGUAAUGAAUCAGGGAGGCGAUAUUUCAGUCAUUUUCGAUCGCAGGUUACGUGCCACAGGUGUGGAGGCAUGGGACAUAUUGCCAGAUUUUGCCCUUCAGGACAGCCUGCUGAGAGUUAUGCAUCGGUGCCGAGUUAUGGUGGAGGGAGUAAUCCGAGUUCUAGCUAUGGAGGUAAUUACACUCAGAGUUAUGGUGGAAGUGGAAGUGGAAGUCAGAAUACCCAAUUUUCCACUCAGAGACAGCCGCAACAGUUUGGUGCAGCUUCGAGUAGCCGCUCUCAGGGGAAUCGAGCAGGCCGUAAUAAUCAAGGUUUCAGAGCUCGUGGUAACCGUAACAGUGGUGGAGGACGUCAGUUUCAUGGACGUAUCAACGCCAUGACACAGCAGGAGGCUGAUCAGGAUCCUCAAGUCAUUACCGGUAUGUUACUUAUUUGUGGUAACUGGGCGAGGGUUCUAAUCGAUCCGAGUGCUACUUUUUCUUUUGUGUCUUCAUCUUUUGCACCGAAUUUAAAUGCACCACCUACACCUCUUGGUUAUGAUAUGCUUGUGCAAAUGCCGCAAGGGGAUCUGUUUUGUGCUCAGUGGGAGUAUAAAAGUUGCCCAGUGGUAGUGGAAGGGGAAAUGAUGGAGGCUAAUCUGGUCCCUUUUCAUUUGGCGGAGUUCGAUGUGAUUUUGGGGAUGGAUUGGCUAUCCAGGCACCGGGCCUAUGUCGCAUGUUGGGAGAAAUCUGUGACGUUCAAUCGACCUGGACGACCGUCAAUCACAUUUCAGGGUGAGCGACGAAUCCUUCCUAGUAGUAUUAUUUCCGCUAUUCAGGCUACUAGAUUGUUGAGUAGGGGAUGUGUGGGAUUCUUAGCUCAUGUAGUAACGAGGGAUAAAUCUUCGUUACGUCCUAAGGAUGUGCCAGUGGUGAAGCAUUACACCGAUGUUUUCCCGGAGGAUUUACCAGGGUUACCGCCUGCGAGGGAAAUUGAAUUUACCAUCGAUUUACUUCCAGGAACAGACCCUAUCUCUUUAGCACCUUAUCGCAUGGCACCGGCGGAGUUGAGGGAAUUGAAGGUUCAACUUCAGGAAUUGGUGGAUAAAGGUUACAUCCAACCCAGUAUGUCUCCCUGGGGUGCUCCUGUUUUAUUUGUUAAAAAGAAGGAUGGAUCGAUGAGACUUUGCAUCGACUAUCGGCAGUUAAACCGGGUGACGGUGAAGAAUCGAUAUCCUUUGCCUCGGAUCGACGAUCUGUUCGACCAGCUGAAGGGUGCUCAGAUAUUCUCUAAGAUAGAUCUUCGCUCAGGUUAUCACCAGUUGUUAAUUCGGGAGGGAGAUGUACCGAAGACUGCUUUCCGCACUAGGUAUGGACACUUUGAAUUUCGUGUCAUGCCUUUCGGACUGACGAAUGCACCUGCAGCAUUCAUGGAUUUGAUGAACAGAGUUUUCAGACCGUAUUUGGAUCGGUUUGUGAUUGUGUUCAUUGAUGAUAUUCUGAUCUUUUCCAAGAGUGUCAGCGAGCACAAGAAGCAUUUGAGGUUGGUGUUGGAAAGGUUGAGCAGUGAGCAGUUGUAUGCUAAGUUUAGCAAGUGUCAGUUCUGGCUAACCCAAAUUAGCUUUCUCGGUCAUGUAGUAUCUGCUGAGGGGAUUAGUGUGGAUCCUCAGAAGGUGUCAGCAAUAACUACGUGGGAGCAACCGAGGAAUGUUACUGAAGUGAGGAGUUUUCUAGGUCUGGCUGGCUAUUACCGAAGAUUUGUUAAAGGUUUCUCAGCCAUUGCCUUACCUCUGAAUAAGUUGACUCGAAAGGAAGUGGAGUUUAAGUGGGAUGAAGAUUGUGAGCGGAGUUUUCAGGAACUGAAGCGAUGUCUUACUCAAGCUCCCGUUCUUACUCUUCCAGACGAUAGCGGUGAGUUUGAUAUCUACACGGAUGCAUCAUUAUCAGGUUUGGGUUGUGUACUGAUGCAGCAUGAUAAAGUCAUUGAUUAUGCUUCCAGACAGCUCAAAAUUCACGAGAGAAACUAUCCCACUCAUGAUUUGGAACUUGGUGCAGUAGUGUUUGCUUUGAAGAUCUGGAGACAUUACUUGUACGGUGAGAAGUGUCGUAUCUUUACUGAUCAUAAGAGCCUCAAGUAUAUCUUUACUCAGAGGGAUUUGAAUUUGAGGCAGAGAAGAUGGAUGGAACUUAUCACUGAUUAUAACUGCACGAUCGAGUAUCAUCCCGGACAUGCCAAUGUAGUGGCAGAUGCACUUAGUCGGAAAUAUCAUGGAUAGCUUGCAUCUCUCCAAGCUAUUCAUGUUCCACUACUAUUUUCUCUUCGAGAAACAGGCUUGUCGGUGAGACCGGGUGAGCAAUGAGCGUGGUUGGCAAAUUUCCAAGUUAGACCUGUUUUGGUGGAUAUAGUCAUAGAAGCUCAGGAGCUUGAUCAGGAGAGUGCCAACAUUAAGGUCUCGGUGGAAAAAGGAGAAGAGAAGCAUUUUAUCAUCCGAAGUGAUGGAGCCUUGAUGUGGGAAAACAGAUUGUAUGUUCCUCAUGAUAACGAAGCAGUGAAAAGAGCAAUUCUGGAUGAAGCACAUUUGUCAGCUUAUGCCAUGCAUCCGGGAAGUACUAAACUGUAUCGCACUAUCCGUCUGUUCUAUUAUUGGUUGGGAAUGAAGCGGGAUGUGGCGGAUUAUGUGAGUAGAUGCAUCAUUUGUCAACAAGUAAAGGCAGAGAGGCAAAGACCUGGAGGAUUGAUGCAGAAUCUUCCGAUACCAGCAUGGAAAUGGGAAGACAUCACCAUGGAUUUUGUGUAUGGUCUGCCGAGGACGCGGUCGAGAUUGGACGGCAUAUGGGUAAUUGUUGAUCGACUGACUAAGACCGCUCAUUUCUUACCUGUUCGACAGACCUAUUCAAUGGAGAAAUUAUCGAAGUUGUUCAUCGAUAAUAUUGUUAGACUUCAUGGUGUACCUGUCUCUAUUGUUUCAGACAGAGAUCCCAGAUUUACUUCCAAAUUUUGGAAAGCUUUUAAUACUGCCAUGGGUACUCAGUUGCUGUUUAGUACUGCUUAUCAUCCACAGACUGACGGUCAGUCCGAGAGGACAAUACAAACAUUGGAGGACAUGUUGAGAGUGUCUGUUCUUCAGUGGAAGGGUAGUUGGGAUAACUAUCUGCCGUUGGUUGAAUUUGCAUACAACAACAGCUACCAUUCGAGUAUUGGUGUGGCACCUUAUGAAGCCUUGUAUGGGAGAGUGUGUCGAACGCCGUUGUGUUGGGCAGAGGUCGGCGAGCGAGUAUUGUUGGGACCGGAGAUUGUAGACACUACCAAUGAGAACAUCCAGCUGAUAAAGAGAAAUCUCAAGGCAGCUCAAGACCGACAGAAAAGCAUAGCGGACAAACAUUCCAAAGAUCGUGAGUACAAGAUUGGUGACUUUGUAUUCUUGAAGUUGUCUCCCUGGAAGGGUGUGGUUCGUUUUGGUAAACGAGGAAAGUUGAGUCCUCGAUAUGUUGGUCCUUAUCAGAUUACGGAGAGAAUUGGUGCAGUUGCCUAUAGAUUGGAGUUGCCACCGGAGUUGUCUCAGAUUCACAAUGUUUUCCAUAUUUCUAUGCUUCGGAAAUAUGUAUCAGAUCCCUCUCAUGUUAUUCAGCUAGAGCCGCUGGAAGUAAGUCCGGAUGUUAGUUAUGUUGAAGAACCAGUGGCUAUUCUUGACCAGCAGAAUAAAGUGUUGAGGAACAAGGUCAUUCCGUUGGUGAAAGUGUUGUGGAGGAACCACGCUACUGAAGAAGCGACGUGGGAAACGGAAGACCUGAUGAGGAGUCAGUAUCCGUAUUUAUUUGCUUGAAGUUGUAAUUUCGGGGACGAAAUUUUUAUAAGGGGGGUAGAUUGUAACACCCGCCCCCACUUAUAAAAUUAUAUGUGUGUAAUAUUCCCUAAAUAUUCUGAAUCUAUCAAUUUUACCCUUUUUGGACUACCCUAUCAGGAUCUAAACAUUGGAUCAUUCUUUCUUUUCAAACUGCCACGUGGCAGCUCCCUAGCAAUUUCCCUGUCUUCUCUCUUUGUCCCCCCCCCCGUGACUCCUUCUUUCUCUUCUUCUUUUUCUGUUUUCUUUUCUUUCUUCUGUCUGUCUCUCUGUCCCUCCCGACUCUAUCUCUUUCUCUCGUCUCUCUCUCAUAGCUCCCUCAUCUCUCUUCUCUGCAGCAACCCGCACGCACGCACCCGUCUCCCCCGCGCGAAGAAAACCCAUCUCCUUCUUCUCUCUCCCUCUGUCCCGUGCUGCGAGCCCGGAAACCGGAGAGGAACUCCGGCGAAACCUUUAUUUUCCCGGUUGGGACGAAUCGAAGCCGGGUGUAAGCACACCCAACUCCGGCGAUCCCGAGGGUGUCGGGGCUUUUUCCGGCCAUCUCCGAUCGUUCCACGACGAAAGGAAGGUGCAAUUAUUAACGGUGAUUCUGUUAUACCUUCUUGGUAUAGCUUUGCACCGUUGGUGUACGGUGAGUGGACCCCUUCAAAAUCAUGUUUAACAAUAGAAAUGCAUACAUGAAAAGCAUGAUUUAAUACUUAUGUUUUACGAAGUACUUUAUGAGAUAUAUGCUUACUGAGGCUAGAUUGAAUUAUUACUAUUUUUCCUAUAACCCAUGUUCUUAUAGAAUAUCCGAUGGAUGACGAUAUGAUAUUAGAACAUGUUUAGAACACCUCUUUGUAGUAUAGAUGAUGGAUGACUUUAUACUACGAAGUUGUUUUUCAAUAUGUUAUGCUCAAUGGUUUUGUACUUACCUAGUGGUCCUUUCCGCUACGGGACGUAGGGAUAGAUUCCGGUCCGUCCCGAGCGACGGUUUGGUGUUGGCAUAGGGCCUGGAGUGUGUUUCCUCUGGCUAUUUAGCACAGGGACGGGGAGCCGGCAUGGGGCCUGUAGUGUAUUUUCCUCUGACUGUCUGCUCAGAGACGGGGAGCUGGCAUGGGGCAUGUAGAGUAUCGGACAAUUCACUAAUGUUUAUUACUUAUACAAGUUAUGAAUUUGAGAUAUUGCACGGCAUGCUAGGUUUCGGAAAAUCUAUUUUGAUCAUGAUAUAUGUGUUUUCAUUAAACCUGGGGGUUAGUAUGUUGAUAACUGUUUUAUUAUAUUUAUAUCAAACUGGUCCACUCAUGUUUGUUUUGCGCCCCCUUCAGGACCUACGAACGAGGAUUACGAUAUAAGCUACGAGGCUUUUCCCUAUCAGUGAUCCAGUGCUAUACUUCUUCUGCUUCGAUAUCUUUUGUAAUAUAGCACAUCUCUAUUUUAAAUUCUGUUUGUACUCUGUAAUAGAUGUAUGCUCUGACAUUAUGCGUGGAUCCUAAUGUUGUAAUUAGAAGUUGAAUUUGUAGUAUUAUUGUGGCUAGUCUUGCUGCCUGUUUUAGCUUAUUUGUGAGUUUUUACUUAAAUUAAUGGCUUUCGUCACCCUUUGGGUGUCGGCCAGCACGUGAUCAUCCCGAUGUCACGAGGACAUCGGGAUCGGGGCGUGUCAAAUUAAAUAAAAGUUAUAAAAAAAAAACCGAAUCUGCAACCCAGAAGAAGAACCUUCUGGGUACGUGUUUGCAGUUGCGGGGCGAAUUCUAGAUCUUAAUUGGAUUAUUAGUUUCUGUUGUAAUAUGGUAGUUAGAAGAUUAAAAAAAACUAUGAUUUAUGCUUCAUAUGCUAACAAUUAACAGAUAAUUAAUGAAAUUUUUAAUUUUAAAUCUAAAUCCUAACAUAUUUUACAAUAGAAGCUUAAAUCUUAAUUUACUCAAUCACAUGGAUUAUUUUAUAACUACCUUACUAUUAAUUCAAUUAAACCUAUUAUUUCUACGAAAACUAACAAAAAUUUCAAAAAAAACUUUAGUUUUAAUGAAAAAAGAAAAAUGAAGAUUUGGUAAAUAAUACCAAAAAAAAAAUAAAAAUAUAAAUUUUCAUUAAAAAUGAACAGCAUCAAAAGUGUUUUAUUAAUACUCCAAUUAUUUAUUUACAAAUACGUGACUAAAUGAAAGGGAGCACUCAAAAUGAUGAAAAGCAGGAGCACCGAAGGCUAUCUCCGUUUCUUUGUUGAGUGGACAGCUGUCUCUUCGUCUUCUUUUGGCAGAUAGCUCCUAGUGGCCAGCCUAUAUUCCACAGCUGGUUAUAGGAUUCGGUUGCUAUAUAAGAAGUGUUUUGUUGUAAUUCAAUAUCGAUAGAAAUCCAAUAGGAUCUUUUUCAAAAUUUUGUGCGGAUUUUGGUAUGUUCGUAAAUCGUAUUUGUUCAUAUUAUACGCUCAUUUUUCAUGGAAUAUUAUUUUUGUUUAAUUUUAAAUAAAAUAAUUUAAAAUAAUUUUUUAUUGUAACAUGUACAAUGAACGGAUAUGAAUUGAUUCACAGAUCUUCAAAAUCCUUACAAAGAAAAUCCAAAAAUAAUCCGAAUUCAAUGGAGAUAAGUUAAUUUUGAAUCAAAUAACAUUAGGAAAAAAAAUUAACAUUAGACGGUUUUAAAUAAUUUAUUGUAUAUUUUUAGGGAAUUGUUAUUAGCACUUUAAAAAUCUCAUUUUACACUCCAAACUUUUUAUAUUAGAAAAGAAAAAUACACUUAUGAGGAAUGUAGAAUAAGAUUUUUGAAUUAACCAUGCAAAAAUGUAAUGUUAAAGCAUCAUGUCAUACAGACCUCUUCAAGGUACCAGAAAUUUUUGCACUAAAGAUGUCACAAGCAGCUGAUAUGAAGCUGCAUUUUCUGUGAGUUGAAAUUUUGUCAAUAUAAUCGAUCACCUGAAGAGAGAGAGAGAGAGAAAGACAGUGAUGUCCAGAGAUGUGAGCCUAAAUGCUGAGUGUGUAAAAAAAGAAGAUUAAAUGGAUAGCAAGAAUAUACAACUUUAAUGCUGAAAAGAACAUUGAAUAUGAUGCUCAUUCAUCAUUGCCAUUGAACGUGUACCUUCUUCUUUUCCUCUUUCUCAAAAGCAAGUAGAGCCUUGAAGACUUGCCUAUAUGAUCCAUCAUCACAACCAGGCAAAGUUGUUUUAAUCAUAGCAACAAUGGCUCUAACUAACUACCUGCCAUAAGAAACAUGCUACAUCAACAAGAUCACAGAGUGUACCAGAAACCGUAAUGUAGCAAAAUCUUAGAUAAAAUAGCUGGCCAAAAGGGAAUGGAAAAGCAAGCACAAAAAACAAUGAAAAGGACCAGUGAUGCCAAAAUUCUGGUGGAAAAGGUGAAAAGCUUAUGUCUAUUACAGUUCUUGUAUGCAUUCUUUAUAACUUAAGUUCUACGUAGCAAAAACCACCUUAUGCACAACAAUAUUGGAAAAAUUAGAUACAUACAACUGAGAAGAUAGGUUUUCAUAAUCUGGACAAGUGCUAACUACCUUCUUCCUAUAAACUGCCACUCCAUGAACAUUAAAUGGUAUUUUCCUUUCACGCAAGGCUGUCUGGAAGACUUUUCCUGAUACCUGUAGAAUAAAUUACAAAAGAAAAUGUGACCAAAAUGUCUUAUAUGAUUCACCUCAUUCACAUUAGCACUAAGGCAAGUAAGCUUGACCUGCCUCCGGUAAAGGAUUGCUAUAUUUCCAUAGGAGCACCCUGCUUCUGACCGUUUAGAUGCAGUCUCCAGGAUCUUGUCGACAACAAAGGCGCAUUGUGCAUCCUCAUUGUGACUUUCCUUGAUAAUUACCUACAUUUUGCCAGUAAAACCAGUGUCACUAACUAAAAGGACUGAAAAAUGACAUCAAAUUGUACUUGUUGGAGCAAGGAAAGAUUAAGUACCUUAGACCCAGAAGAAUUGUCCGUGUCAACAUUCUUUAGUUGGCAUCACUUCUUAUUGUUUUUUAUAACAGAAGAUGCAGCUUCCACACAAUAUAGCGUGUGGACCGAAAGUUCUUAUUAAGCCUAAUCUGAACCAUAAAGUUAUGUCAAAUCCCACAGAACCCCAUAAAAUAAAACUUACUUUCCUGUAAUUGUACAAUAUAUUUGUUCUAUACUAUAUAUAACGAAAAAAGACACCGUGAAUGACAUAAGAUAACAUAGCAGUCAAGUGCGAAGCGAACCUCUUUGUAAUUUGAAAAAUCUUUACGAAAAGAAUCAAAUCCAGAAAUGUCCGCCCCAUUGAAACUGAAAAUGGACUGCAGCAGGAUAUAUGUUAUUUGAUUUAGAACAGAUAAGGGCUGGAUUAGAAUGAGCUGAGAGAGGGAGAGAGGGAGAGACGGAGCAAUAACAUUGGAUUUCCAUAAUAAAUCAACAACAUGCCUGAUCAUCAUCACCAACAAUGGUUAUGUGGUUAUGAGAGGCGAGAAUCCGCAAAAGUCUAUAUUGCAUAGCACUUGUGUCUUGAAACUCGUCUAUUACAAUAGCUUUCCAUGACUCCUGGCACUCCUUCAACACUAAUUAAGAGAACACCAUGUAUCAACAUUUAGCAUUACUUGUAAAACUAGAUAAAUCAAUGAAAUAUACUUAGAUGAUAGAGACCUUCAGGAAAAUCACUUAGCAGCUUCACAGAGCAGCUAAUUAAGUCGUGGUAGUCCAAAGCGUUGCACGAUUUCAAGAUAUCAUUGUAAUUCCUAAGAAUUUCACCCUGAUUCAGAUUGAGAGCUAAAACUCAUAAGCAAUAGUUUCAAAGAACUGAAAUGAUAUCUGAAAUUCUAGUUCUGAGCGUACUCCUGUCACAUCACCCAUUCUUUGGCAUUCAGCGGGAGUUCUUUCCAGAAGCUUUUGCCUGAAACAUAAAUAAAUUUAUUGCCUAAUGCCACAUAUUGUAAGACACACCAUUGUAUUGGUCACUCUAGCUAAGCACAAUGAGCUUCAGUGGCAUACGGCGGUCACACAACACGCCGGAUGCACUCUUCCACUUCAUCCAUCCAGCUUGUAUUCUAUGGUUGAGAUCUCCAUCUAAUUCUCCGUUCUUUUGCAAAAUAGAUCCUAGGUAACGAAAACGGUCGCUCUUUGAUAUUUCUUGAUCUCCGAUCCUCACCCCUAAAUCGUUUUGGCCUCCAUUUGCACUGAACUUGCACUCCAUAUAUUCUGUCUUUGAUCGGCUUAGGCGAAAACCUUUAGAUUCCAACACUUCUCUCCAAAGGUUAAGCUUUGCAUUUACCCCUUCCUGAGUUUCAUCUAUCAACACUAUAUCGUCUGCGAAAAGCAUACACCAAGGAAUAUCACCUUGAAUAUGUCCUGUUAACUCAUCCAUUACCAACGCAAAAAAGGUAAGGACUUAAGGAUGAGCCUUGAUGUAAUCCUACAGUUAUGGGAAAGCUUUCGGUUUGUCCUUCAUGAGUUCUUACGGCAGUCUUUGCUCCUUCAUACAUAUCUUGUAUAGCUUGGAUAUAUGCUACUCGUACUCCUUUCUUCUCUAAAAUCCUCCAAAGAAUGUCUCUUGGGACCCUAUCAUACGCUUUUUCCAAAUCUAUAAAGACCAUGUGUAAAUCCUUUUUCCCAUCUCUAUAUCUUUCCAUCAAUCUUCGUAAGAGAUAGAUUGCCUCCAUGGUUGAGCGCCCUGGCAUGAACCCGAAUUGGUUGUCCGAAACCCGUCUCUUGCCUCAAUCUAUGCUCAAUGACUCUCUCCCAGAGCUUCAUUGUAUGACUCAUUAGCUUAAUACCACUAUAGUUCAUGCAAUUUUGUACAUCGCCCUUAUUCUUGUAGAUAGGCACCAAAGUGCUAAUUCGCCACUCAUUCGGCAUCUUCUUCGUUUUCAAAAUCCUAUUGAAAAGGUCAGUGAGCCAUGUUAUACCUGUCUCUCCCAAAACUUUCCACACUUCGAUUGGUAUAUUGUCUGGGCCUACUGCUUUUCUAUGUUUCAUCUUCUUCAAAGCUACAACCACUUAUUCCUUCCGGAUUCCACGAUAAAAAAAGUAGUUUCUACACUCUUCUGAGUUACUCAACUCCCCUAAAGAAGCACUCAUUUCAUGUCCUUCAUUGAAAAGAUUAUGAAAAUAACCUUUCCAUCUGUCUUUAACCGCGUUCUCUGUAGCAAGAACCUUUCCAUCCUCAUCCUUAAUGCACCUCACUUGGUUUAGGUCCCUUGUCUUCUUUUCCCUUACUCUAGCUAGUUUAUAGAUAUCCAACUCUCCUUCUUUGGUAUCUAGUCGCUUAUACAUAUCGUCAUAAGCCGCUAACUUAGCUUCUCUCACAGCUUUCUUCGCCUCUUGCUUCGCAUUUCUAUACCUUUCACCAUUUUCAUCGGUCCUAUCCUUGUAUAAGGUUUUACAACAUUCCUUCUUAGCCUUCACCUUUGCUUGUACCUCCUCAUUCCACCACCAAGAUUCCUUUUGGUGUGGGGCAAAGCCCUUGGACUCUCCUAAUACCUCUUUUGCUACUUUUCGGAUACAACUAGCCAUGGAAUCCCACAUUUGAUUAACUUCCCCCUCUCUAUCCCACACACACUGGGUGAUUACUUUCUCUUUGAAAAUGGCUUAUUUUUCUUCUUUUAGAUUCCACCAUCUAGUCCUUGGGCACUUCCAAGUCUUGUUCUUUUUUCUCACUCUUUUGAUAUGUACAUCCAUCACCAACAAGCGAUGUUGAUUAGCCACGCUCUCUCCUGGUAUAACUUUGCAAUCUUUACAAGUUAUACGAUCCCCUUUCCUCAUUAGAAGAAAAUAUAUUUGUGUUUUUGACGACCCACUCUUGUAGGUGAUCACAUGUUCUUCUCUCUUCUUAAAGAAGGUGUUGGCUAAGAAGAGAUCAUAUGCCAUUGCAAAAUCCAAGAUAGCUUCCCCAUCCUCGUUUCUCUCCCCAAAACCAUGGCCACCAUGAAAACCUCCAUAGUUGCCUGUCUCCCUGCCCACGUGUCCAUUUAAAUCUCCUCCUAUAAAUAACUUCUCCGUCUGAGCAAUUCCUUGCACCAAGUCUCCAAGGUCUUCCCAAAAUUUCUCCUUCGAACUCGUAUCCAACCCUACUUGAGGUGCGUACGCACUAAUCACAUUGAUAAGUUAUUGUCCUAUUACAAUCUUGAUUGCCAUGAUUCUAUCUCCUACCCUCUUGACAUCUACAACAUCUUGUGUCAAGGUCUUGUCCACGAUGAUGCCAACACCGUUUCUCGUUCUAUUUGUGCCCGAAUACCAUAGUUUAAACCCUGAGUUUCUAGAUAUAUAUAUAUAUAUAUAUAUAUAUCAAAUGGCCCCUAAAUGCUAUUAAAAAUCUCAAAAAUUAACAGGAAACUAAAACAAAUUAGAAUUUAUUCAUGGUUUCGCAAUUCCCAGCCGGGUAAACUGGUGGCCGUUGUAAGAGAGGGCCUCCAGCCGGAUAAACAUUUUCGAGUUAUAUGAUAUUUGUAUAGCAAAAAUACUUUAAUAGCAAGUGCGCGUGAGUGAAGAAAUUGAACUUACUUAUAUUCUUUCGAAUCCCAACCGGAAAAAUUGCAGGCUCUGGGAAGAGCGGACCUCCAGCUCUGCACCUCCUUCACGUCAACGUUAGAACGACCUUCAUGUUUAGCAAAAGCUUCUGCAAAACUUCCCUCGAGUUUACGAAUAUUGGACGGAUCGACUUGGUAGAAAAUGGGGAAUACAAUCUGGUUCUUGGAAUGGUUGCAUUCCAAGAUUUCCACGAGUUCUUUCAAGCACCAUGUGGAUGAAGCAUAGUUUUCAGAGAAAACUACAAUCGAAAUCCUUGACUCUCGAAUCGCUGUCAGGAGCUCGGAAAGGCGGUCGCCUUUUCUGAGGUCUUCGGCAUCAAUGAACGUGUUGAUUGGUUUCUGACGCAGAGCUUUGUAGAGAUGGCUGACGAAGCCCGUGCGAGUGUCUUCCCCUCUAAAAUUGAUGAACACAUCGUAUUCCCAACCAAGGCAAGAAGAAGAAGAAGAAGCAGCAAUUAAUCGAUCGCACCUGGGCAGCGAUGAUCGAGCAGCUUAAGACUAAGAGAAUUGUAAGUACAGAAACACUCAAUAGAUCUACAAAUUGGAUCACCAGAAAUUAGUCAAUGAGUCAAUGCAAAAGGGAAAAGGGCAAUUAUGCUUUUUGCGUUUUCACAUCUUCUUCAGGAAAUUUCGGUGUGAAAGGAAUCCGCAUACUUUUGAUUUUUCAACCCAAGAAAAUGCGAAGAAAGGGGACAAAGUAGUAAAUUUAAUCUACAGUUGCCUACCCAACAACCUCUUGAUUUAAUAUAUAUUUAAUUAGGAAAAGUAGUUUAGAGGAAGGAUGGUAUCUCCUUUUCUUCUCUCUCGAUCAGUCAAUCUUCCCGCGUGCGAUUUAAUCAUGAUUAAAGCUAAGCUUAAUCUUAGAUCGUAUUAUUUAGGUCUAAUUGGAUUCUUAAUUCUUGUUGUGAUAUAGUAGUUGGAAGAUUAAAAAAAAUUAUGAUUUAAAUGUUUGUGGUGAAGUCUGUUACGAUUUAGUUUCAAACUUGAAAAUUUCGUUAACUCCGUUAAUUAUUAGCACAUGAGACUCACAAAUGAAACUAAAAAUAUAAAGUUAGCCUCACAUGUAAUCUUCACGUGCUAACAAUUAAAAGAGAGUUCCGUUUUAGCUUAAUAUAUGUGACUCACGUGUUAAUAAUUAACGGAAUAUUAACAAAAAUUUUAAUUUUAAGCAUAAAUUCAAAUAAACUUCACCACAUAAGCUUAAAUUCUAAUUUAGAUAUCUUCUAACUAUCUUAUCACCAUAAAAAUUAUAAUCAAAUUAAACUUAUUAUUUAUUUAUAAAUGCGUAAUUAAAUCACAAAGUGUUGAAUGAAAGGGAGCACUCCAAAUGAUGAAAGAUGUGUGAUAUCCACACAUCUUUUUUUUUACUUUUUACACAUCGUUUUAAUUUUCGACUGUCGGAUCGAAUUAAUUGAAGAAAAUCAAAGGAUAAAAAUCAACAAAGGGUGUGCAAGAAGUAAAAAUGAGUGUGUGGAUAGUCAUCCCAUGAAAAGCGGGAGCAUCGAAAGCUAUCUCCGUUUCUUGUUGUCUAUUUGUCUUCUUUUGGCAGAUAGCUCCUAGGGACCGGCCUAUUUUCCACAGCUGGUUAUAGGACUCAGUUACUAUAGAAGGAGUGUUUUGUUGUAAUUCAAUAUCGAUGGAAAUCCAACAUAAUCUUUUUCAAAUUUUUGUGAGGAUUUUGGGGUGUACGUAAAUUGAUUAUGUUCAUCGUAUAUUAUGUGACCAUUUUUUAUCAAAUACUAUUUGUGUUUCAUUUUAAAUAAAAUAAUUUAAAAUAAUUUUUAACUGCAAGAUGUACAAUGAACGGAUAUAAUUCACAAAUCUCCAAAAUCCUUACAAAAAAAUCCGAAAAAGAUCCAAAUUCAAUGGAAAUAAGCUAAUUUUGAAUCAAAUUACAUUACUUUAUUUUGUAAAUAAAUUAAUUUUGAAUCGAACAACAUUCAUUUAUUAUGUAAGUAAUUCAUUUUGUAUGUAUCAUCAUAUAUAUUAGGCACAUUUUAUCAUAGGUGAUUUUGUGAAAAAUUAAUAAAAAGUUACAAUAUUAACAAUAGAUCAAUAAUAUUUAUGUUAAUUAUAAAUAGGUUAACCAUAUGUUGUGAUACUUAAAUACAUUUAAAAUAAAUAAAAAUUACAAAAUCUGACAUCCACUGCGACGUAGGAGCCACGGUGCAGCCCAAACUUUGCAGAUAAGAAAUCUGGUAAUUCACAGCAUGACAAACAAAUUACUGGGUCUCCUGACCAUCGUUGAUGCCAAUGUGUGCACAAGGAAAGGAGUAAGGUAAUCAAAUGCGUUAGUCUUGUGUACCUGUUUCGGUGUUGGUUUGGAUGAACCCAUUGAGUUCUCGAUCCUUAACUUCUGGAAAUGCUCCUGAAAGCAUAAAUAUAUGUACGGAUUUAAACCAAUGACAAAUGGACAUAAUUUACGGACAAUGAUUGAAGAAAAUACAGAUAUAAACGCCUCAGUAUUCCAUUGACGAAAGUUCUAGAUUUGAUGAAUCAAAAGUCCCACGUUGAGACUGCGUUAAGGCAAAUGGUUCUCAAAACCUGUUUUUCCCUCAUCAAAUGAGCGCGUUGAUCUGCAGGUAUUUUCUGCCAUCUCAAAACCUGUUACAAAGAAAUAUAACGUUGAUGUCGAGCUGGAUAGCAUAUUAUACCAAUUAUGUGUACAAACCUAUUGAAAUAAAGUAGCUGUAGUUGCAUAUUACGACAGAUAUUAACGAAAACAAAAGAAGGCUCGCCUAUUCAAGAUCCUAAAUCCCGUGAUUCUUUUGUUUUUAGUUUCAGAAAUUUUCAGAGCAAACUGGAAAGUACCAAGAUACUUACAUAUUGGGCAUAAUGAAAUGCAUCUUCAUCUUUCAAGCAAGAUUUGAGUGAGCGCAAACCGUCCUGAGAGUUACAUAAGUCAAUCAGUAAUAUAAAAACGUAGACGCAUCACAUCCAAACACAAGUAUUCAAACACCAACAACUUCUUCAUGCGGUGAGGCAUGUUAAAAAAUAGGGAAGAACAGUUAUUGAAUAGGAAGUUAAAGGACUAAAUUUAUGACCUUGUGUUUGUAGUUCUUGGCUCGUAUGCGUUCAUCUAUUACAAAACCAAUCUGUAACAGGUACAACAGAAAAUAUAAGCAGUAGUCAGAACAUUAAUCUUCGGCAUUCACAUUGCCACCAAUCCAAAGUUAAAAGUCUGAAGGCAAAACAGUAUGAUUCUUAUCUCUCAAACAAAAAUGAAACUAUACCCCGGUCUCAGACAUAAAUGAAAUAAGUUCUACUGCCUCAACUGAGUACUGUGAUUAUAUAUAAAUCCAAUUCACCUUGUCAAGUAAUCUCUUAGGAUCUUGAAAUGCUUCCUUCUUAGCCCAGUCAUUAAAUACAUGCGAGAAAAUUGAUCUCUCAUCCACACUGAAUCUAUUGCACAGUGACAGAAGAAUAAAGUUAAACAUGAACAUAACCAACCAAAAUGCUAGUUAUAAUAGUACACCCAUAAUUGCAAGCAAAACCUUUUUAAGAAGCCAUUUCCAUGGUUUUCCUCCCAAAUUCCAUCAAUUCUGCAGAGGCAACGUCAAAUUUACUAUGAUGGAGAUCAUUUUGCACUGUAAUAACUUCAGAAGGUAGGAGAUUUGGUUUCAGAUCAUCUGUUGACGGAGUAGUUUCUUUUGAAGUGUCAUGAUGCUUUUGAUUGCAAGCCUUCUGUACUUACGUCAGCCUACAAAACAAAAAUUGCAUUCAUCCACACUAGACUUAAUAAGAUUAGAAACACUUCAGAUUCUUCAUUAUUUGUAUUUUUGACUAAACAGCAGAACAACUGAGGAUAAUGAACAGUAAUACACACCUGGACUUCUCGUAGAUGAUUUGGAAUUUCUUUCAGAAAUCGCGAAGGUUGAAGCAUCUGAAGGAGUCACCUUCUCAGUCAGAGCAACAACAACAAAUAAGGAGGACAGGAAUUCAAGCUAAAACGAACCUGCCAACUGGAAUCCAUCGUAACAUAAAGAAUGAAAAGCUUUUUUCGAGCACGAGUCAUUGCAACAUAUAAUAGGCGUCUCUCCUCCUAUGAUUAGAGUGGGAUUAUUGAGUUAUUGACCAAAAGAAAAAAGAGUGGGAUUAUUGUGAAAAACAUGUCAAAGCUCUGCAUAUAACUGAAAAAUGUUGAACAAUUUACCACACACCUCAAUGGAGGUCCCAUUUUCUUUUGCAACCCCAUUGAAUUCAUGCAACAACGGGAUCUCAGAUUCAUUUACCUGUGUUAUUGGCAUGAGCAUUAAAGCAAGCUAAGAUGAUUUGAAGAGGUUGAUAUCGUCAUGAAUAUAGUAGAACAGAAUACCAAUUUCAAGCCAUCAAUUAGGUAUAGCAUUGGCAUGUUUAAUCCGUAAAUCUAAUGACAGAACACCUCAACUCUACACAUAAAUAAAUAAACAACCUGAAAAAUAUUACAGCCACAUGUUAAGGCAAAUACCUUAAUUAUGAAAACUAUAUCCCACUCUAAACCUUUUGACUGCAAGAGAAUGAAAAAGAAAGACAGUAAGCCAAGAAUGUUUUGUAGAACUCCAAAGGAAGUCCAAUAGGGAAAUCAUCGCAAGUAUAAGAGUUAGCGAGGUUCGCAUAAGAGGAUAUCAAAAAGAUCUAGAACCUGAUGAAUAGUAGUCAAAGUGACAGAACUUUGGUUGUCAUGUCUUCGGGAGUGAAAAUUUUCACUCUCCUGCUCAGAUAUGUAGUCGAUGAAAGCUUUGAGUAAAUUAACGCAGCCUUUUUCUUCUGCUACGACUUCUCUCUCCCCUUUUCCCGCAACAAAAUGAGUUGAUAAGAAAUCAGAUACGUCGUCUAGUAGGUACUGAAGAACCUGCAAUGAGAAUAAUCGCAUCACAGCAACAGGGUUGGACCAAGAUUUAAGUGACAACAAUGAUUAACUAACUAAAAUAGAGAAAUUAUUCAUUUAAGACCUUGUUGACGGAAAAAAGGGUUUUCCAAGCAGCGGGUCAUUUAAGCUUAUUGUAUAAAUGACAAUCAUCACAAACGGCAAACUUACAGAUCUCACGUCAUUGUCUUCAUUCAGCAGUUUUCCUCCAUCUACAUCAACGACUGCACGUUGCUCAAGACGGUACUUCUAAAAAUUGAAAGUCAACAACAACAACAACAACAACAACAAAGCCUUUUCCCACUAAGUGGGGUCGGCUAUAUGAAUCCUAGAACGCCAUUGCGCUCGGUUUUGUGUCAUGUCCUCCGUUAGAUCCAAGUACUCUAAGUCUUUUCUUAGAGUCUCUUCCAAAGUUGUCCUAGGUCUUCCUCUACCCCUUCGGCCCUGAACCUCUGUCCCGUAGUCACAUCUUCGAACCGGAGCGUUAGUCGGCCUUCUUUGCACAUGUUCAAAAUCACCGGAGCCGAUUUUCUCUCAUAUUUCCUACAAUUUCGGCUACUCCUACUUUACCUCGGAUAUCCUCAUUCCCAAUCUUAUCCUUUCUCGUGUGCCCACACAUCCCACGAAGCAUCCUCAUCUCCGCUACACCCAUUUUGUGUACGUGUUGAUGCUUCACCACCCAACAUUCUGUGCCAUACAACAUCGCUAGCCUUAUUGCCGUCCUAUAAAAUUUUCCCUUGAGCUUCAGUGGCCUACGACGGUCACACAACACGCCGGAUGCACUCUUUCCAUCCAGCUCGUAUUCUAUGGUUGAGAUCUCCAUCUAAUUCUCCGUUCUCUUGCAAGAUAGAUCCUAGGUAGCGAAAACGAUCGCUUUUUGUGAUCUUCGCUAGAUUUCUCCGGUCAUUAGUGUGGAUAAGUAUAUAAAUGGAUAGAGAUAGGAAAGCAAACACAAGAUGUACGUGGUUCACCCAGAUUGGCUACGUCCACGGAAUAGAAGAGUUCUCAUUAAUUGUGAAGGGUUUACACAAGUACAUAGGUUCAAGCUUUCAUUUAGUGAGUACAAGUGAAUGAUUUUAGUACAAAUGACAUUAGGAAAUAUUGUGGGAGAAUGAUCUCGUAAUCACGAAACUUCUAAGUAUCGGAGUGUGGUGUCGUCUUGACUUGCCUUAUCUGUCUCAUAGGUAGAUGUGGCAUCUUCUCUGGAAGUACUCUUCCUCAAACGAUAAAUUAUUAAGAAGCAUUGAAUAUAAGCAUGAAACGAAGAAAAUGUUAUGGAAUGGUGAUCCUCAUCCUCAAAGAUGAUUAAAAGCAAUUUGAUUCAAAAAUGACAUAUCAACUCUGGAGAAAUGGAAGACAAACCUGUGGUACCAUAUUCGCAACUGAGGUUAUGACAGCUGAAAUCGAUUGUUCCUGUGUGCAUUGAUAAGUGAGACUACCAUAGAGAUUCACAACUAAAUAAAGACAGGUAUUCCACAGAACAACCUUUACCUCUUUGGAAACACAGAUCUAACAAAAACUAUAACAUUUUGGAUUAAUAUUGACAAAUCAAGAAUAAUGCAAGGGAGCAAGAGAUACUCUUCCUUCUAAUAACAAGGAGGCGUGAAAAGUAUACAGAGUUCCAACAAUUAGAGAACUAAAAUCAAACUAAAAAAAUCACCAAAGUAGACAGAAUCUCACUUCGCCAAAAAUUUGAAAAUAUACCUUUUUAUCCAUUGAGAUUCAUGAACUACUACUACUACAUCAUGCCAAUAAGCAAUGCGUAAGAGGAGCUACAAUUUACCGAAUAUAUUUACCCUGAGAACAAGUUUUGAAAUCAUCUCUAGUGUUAACAGCACCUUGCGUCCUUGGGUAAGCUGAGUCCUAUUAUCAAGUAAAGAGACCAAUCAGUACAUAUCCAAAAGAUCUUAAAUGCUUGUAAUACCAAAUAAGAAAGAAACAUGAGUAUAUCUUGAAUUAACCAUGCAAAAAUGUAAUGUUAAAGCAUCUUGUCAUACAGACCUCUUCAAGGUACCAGAAAUUUUUGCACUAAAGAUGUCACAAGCAGCUGAUAUGAAGCUGCAUUUUCUGUGAGUUGAAAUUUUGUCAAUAUAAUCGAUCACCUGAAGAGAGAGAGAGAGAAAAAGACAGUGAUAUCCAGAGAUGUGAGCCUAAAUGCUGAGUGUGUAAAAAAAGAAGAUUAAAUGGAUAGCAAGAAUAUACAACUUUAAUGCUGAAAAGAACAUUGAAUAUGAUGCUCAUUCAUCAUUCCCAUUGAACGUGUACCUUCUUCUUUUCCUCUUUCUCAAAAGCAAGUAGAGCCUUGAAGACUUGCCUAUAUGAUCCAUCAUCACAACCAGGCAAAGUUGUUUUAAUCAUAGCAACAAUGGCUCUAACUACCUGCCAUAAGAAACAUGCUACAUCAACAAGAUCACAGAGUGUACCAGAAACCGUAAUGUAGCAAAAUCUUGGAUAAAAUAGCUGGCCAAAAGGGAAUGGAAAAGCAAGCAUGAAAAACAAUGAAAAGGACCAGUGAUGCCAAAAUUCUGGUGGAAAAGGUGAAAAGCUUCUGUCUAUUACAGUUCUUGUAUGCAUUCUUUAUAACUUAAGUUCUACGUAGCAAAAACCACCUUAUGCACAACAAUAUUGGAAAAAUUAGAUACAUACAACUGAGAAGAUAGGUUUUCAUAAUCUGGACAAGUGCUAACUACUUUCUUCCUAUAAACUGCCACUCCAUGAACAUUAAAUGGUAUUUUCCUUUCACGCAAGGCUGUCUGGAAGACUUUUCCUGAUACCUGUAGCAUAAAAUACAAAAGAAAAUGUGACCAAAAUGUCUUAUAUGAUUCACCUCAUUCACAUUAGCACUAAGGCAAGUAAGCUUGACCUGCCUCCGGUAAAGGAUUGCUAUAUUUCCAUAGGAGCACCCUGCUUCUGACCGUUUAGAUGCAGUCUCCAGGAUCUUGUCGACAACAAAGGCGCAUUGUGCAUCCUCAUUGUGACUUUCCUUGAUAAUUACCUACAUUUUGCCAGUAAAACCAGUGUCACUAACUAUAAGGACUGAAAAAUGACAUCAAAUUGUACUUGUUGGAGCAAGGAAAGAUUAAGUACCUUAGACCCAGAAGAAUUGUCCAUGUCAACAUUCUUUAGUUGGCAUUGCUUCUUAUUGUUUUUUAUAACAGAAGUUGCAGCUUCCACAAUAUAGCGUGUGGACCGAAAGUUUUUAUUAAGCCUAAUCUGAACCAUAAAGUUAUGUCAAAUCCCACAGAACCUCGUAAAAUAAAACUUACUUUCCUGUAAUUGUACAAUAUAUUUUUUCUGUACUAUAUAUAAUGAAAAAAGACACUGAAUGACAUAAGAUAACAUAGCAGUCAAGUGCGAAGCGAACCUCUUUGUAAUUUGAAAAAUCUUUACGAAAAGAAUCAAAUCCAGAAAUGUCCGCCCCAUUGAAACUGAAAAUGGACUGCAGCAGGAUAUAUGUUAUUUGAUUUAAAACAGAUAAGGGCUGGAUUAGAAUGAGCUGAGAGAGAGAGAGAGAGAGGGAGAGAGGGAGAGAGGGAGAGAGGGAGAGAGGGAGCAAUAACAUUGGAUUUCCAUAACAAAUCAACAACAUGCCUGAUCAUCAUCACCAACAAUGGUUAUGUGGUUAUGAGAGGCGAGAAUCCGCAAAAGACUAUAUUGCAUAGCACUUGUGUCUUGAAACUCGUCUAUUACAGUAGCUUUCCAUGACUCCUGGCACUCCUUCAACACUAAUUAAGAGAACACCAUGUAUCAACAUUUAGCAUUACUUGUAAAACUAGAUAAAUCAAUGAAAUAUACUUAGAUGAUAGAGACCUUCAGGAAAAUCACUUAGCAGCUUCACAGAGCAGCUAAUUAAGUCGUGGUAGUCCAAAGCAUUGCACGAUUUCAAGAUAUCAUUGUAAUUCCUAAGAAUUUCACCCUGAUUCAGAUUGAGAGCUAAAACUCAUAAGCAAUAGUUUCAAAGAACUGAAAUGAUAUCUGAAAUUCUAGUUCUGAGCGUACUCCUGUCACAUCACCCAUUCUUCGGCAUUCAGCCGGAGUCUUUCCAGAAGCCUUUGCCUGAAACAUAAAUAAAUUUAUUGCCUAAUGCCACAUAUUGUAAGACACACCAUUGUAUUGGUCAUUCUAGCUUGAUUGUAGCUAAUAUUUUUUAAAUCGAAUGAUUAGAGUUCUUAAUCCACAAUAAUCUGAACAUUAAAUUUGGUAUUCAAGACUAACCUGUGUCACCAACUACAGCCAUUUCCUUGAUGCAUCCUUAAAAUGAUGUGGAGAUGUUACGCCGUUAGACUCUUCCCCAUCUAUAGCAACAUUAAGAUUCGUUUACUCUUUUCAUCUUCUGAUAACCGCACAGCUUCAAUGAUUGCUCUUCUCUGUUGCCCAUGUCCAUAUAUCAAAAAUUCUGGUCUGCGCUCGAGUCUAAAACACAAGCCAACAUAACAGACUCAGCUAUACCACCAAAUGUAUGGUGUUCAAAAUCAAGGGAGGUGAAUCAAUAGCUUACUUCUCAGCAUGUGAUCGGCAAAGUUGCAAUGAAAAUGAAUGAAAUGUACUGAUUGUUAGUAGUUUUGCCGUUGCUUUCCCAGUCACAGAUCCAAUUCGAUCUCUCAUCUCGGAAGCUGCUGCUGUAGUGAAAGUCAUUGCUAGAAUGUUCGACGUGCUAAUGCCCUAAGAACACAAAAAAAAAAAAAAAAACGUAUAAGAUUUCGAUCAUAAACAAGAAAUGUAGAGAAACACACAAUUACGAAAGAAAAAGUUAGAGGGAAAGUAGCAACACCUCAUUGAGCAGCAUUAGAACGCGCCCAACUAUCGUUGAAGUCUUUCCACUUCCAGGGCCGGCAACAAUCAUCAAAGGUACUGAAAUAUCGCUGCAAGCUGCCUCGCGCUGCCUUUCGUUGAGAGAAAGCAAAUACUUCAAUACUCAUCCGGCAUGUUAGGCAAUCCAUGGUUAACAGAAUCUUUUUGGUUUUCACUACUCAAAGGUGGCGCUGAUGCGGCACUAACGUCACUACCACAACUCCCAAUAUCAUCACGCUGAAUGUCCACACUCGGUUUCUGCUCGAUUAAAGCGUCAAUUUCCUGCAAAAUACUCUCGUCGAAAUCAUCAUCGUUAAGAAUUCCAGAUGCAGAGAAAGAAUCAAAUGAAGUCAGAAACUGCGGUUGUCUGAUUGGAGUUGUGAAAGAAUCCGAUUUUGACACGCUUGAUUCGGUCCGGCUAACGCUUAAGCUCCCGGAACACGAAGCACUGCCAUAUUCACCACGCGUUGAAUUGUACCGGCUUGCGGAAAUCGGAGGCGGUGUUCUUUGAACUCUAUUGAGCUGAGUUGGCGUUUGGAUUCCAUUUCCGCCACAGAUUCUGGAAUUUGAAAAACACAAUUGAAUUGAUUUAAAUUGAAGCAAGAAAACAGCCGAGUAGCAAAAAAAUAGUAAGAAGAUGAAACCUUUGAUUCCUGAACGACUUACUUGGUAUGAGGGAGGUGAUGAUCAGGUGAAACGGCGUCGUUGCGGGGGCGUUUGCGAUCAAUGAGGGCCUUGGCGGCUCUGAAAUUCCGAGAGAUGCGGUUUCUUUGUUCCGCCGUGAGCCCUCCGCCGUACGCCUGAACGUUUUCCUUGGACAUUGCUUCGAAGAUUCCAACGGAGGAUUUGGCCUGACGGCCUGACCAGGCUGAUAACAGUGUAAAACCUUAGGAGCUAAGGAAAACUAAGAGAUAGAUCGUAGAGAGGGAAAGUUUUUUCUUUUUGGAAACUAGUAGGGAGGGAAAGUUUGUUAAACCUGAAUAAUAUUCUUUUCAUUCAACUUGUCUACAAUAAUUACCACUCUUGGUAUUUAUACAUUUCUAACACACCUCACUAACUAACUAAGACCACUACCAAUCAUACAAAAAUAAUUGUCCUUUGAUGAACUCUUUCACGAACAAAGUGGCAAUCAAUCUCUACAUGUUUGGCUUUAGAGUGCAAUACAGGUUUAGUGGCAAGAGCCAUUGCUUAAAUGUUAUCACAAUGCAAAACUGGAACAGAAGGAGAACCAACAUGCAAAUCUCGAAGAAGAUGUUGUAUCCAGAUAACCUUAGCAGUGGUUGUAGCCAUUGCUCUAUAUUCAGCUUCAGUGGAAGACCCACUCACUGUAUGCUGCUUUUUAGAACUCAAAGAGAUAGGAGUGACAAAACCCAUGGUUGAACGACGAUCAUUGUGAUCCCCUGCCCAAUCAGCAUAUGUAUGAGCUUUCAACUAAGAUGAACCUGAUUUAAAACACAAUCCCAGAGACAUAGUGCCUCUGAGAUAUCGCAGAAUACGUUUCACAGCAGCAAAUGAGUGGCUAAUGGUGAAUGCAUAAACUGACAUACUUGAUUGACGGAAAAAGAAAUAUCUGGUCUUGUAAAUGUUACGUAUUGUAGUGCCCCAACAAUACUUUUGUAAGUGGUAGGAUCAGAAACAGGUUCACUACCAUGAUUCAGAAGCUUUUGAUUAGGAUGACAAGGUGUGGAAAAAGGUUUACAGUCCAGCAUAUGCAUCUUUUGAAUGAGUUCUUUGACACACUUGGUCUGAUGAACAAAGAGUCCCUGUUCUUGAUAUUCAAUCUGUAAACCAAGAAAAUAAUGCAACACACCCAGAUCUUUCAUGUCAAACUCACUAGUUAACUGACUAAUAACAUUCUGAACCUUCACAGCAUCAUUACUAGUGGGAAUGAUAUUAUCAACAUGUAAUAAGAGAACAAUAAUUGAUGAACCAUCACACUUGACAAAUAAAGAAGGAUCUGCAUAUGAUGACUUGAACCCAAGCUUAGGCAAAUAACCUGAAAACCUGUCAUGUUAGGCUCUGGGAGCUUGCUUGAGUCCAUAUAAAGACCUCUCUAGUUUGCACACAUAAUCCGGAUAGGUAGAAUCCACAAACCCUUGGGGCUGAGACAUAAAAACUUCUUCCUCAAGAAAGCCAUGCAAAAAAGCGUUCUUGACAUCUAACUGUUUGAGUUUCCAAUUAUGAGAUGCAGCCAAGGAUAGAACCAAUCGAACUAUGUUUGGUUUGACCACAGGGCUAAAGGUUUCAUAAUAGUUAAUACCAACUUCUUAAGAAUACCCCUUAGCUACAAGUCUAGCCUUGUACCUAGCCACUAAACCAUCUGGAUUUCUCUUAAUCUUGUAGAUCCAUUUACAACUAACAAGAUUUUUGUCAGGUGGUAAGGGCACAAGCCUCCAAGUAUGAUGUUGAAUCAAAGCAUCCAUCUAUUCUUUCAUGGCAUUUUGCCAUUAAACACACUUGACAAUACUAGAAAAAGACUGAGGUUCCUUGAUUUCAGAAGCCUGAUCCACCUUAGCAGAAAACACCUUCUUUUUCAUAAUCCUAGACUUAGACCGGGUUUGCAUGGGAUGACAAUUUUGAGCAUUGAUACACACUGGUUGGAGAUCAUCCACUUGAGACAUUGUAGUAUUUGGAUGAUCUUUUGAAUACACAGUAGGCAAAACCUCUGAAGAAGGCACAAAACUUGUGGAAGAAGAGACAAGAUCACCAGAACUAGUGGGUUGAGAGGAUGAUGACUGAGUAACAUGUUGUGAUUUAGAGGUAAGAGAAGUGGGACCAAUAAAUGGAAAUGUGGAAGAAACACUAGGUGGAUGAAUGAAUGUGUUUGAAUGCACAACAGACAUUGGUGAGGAAGAAUGACCAGAAGUAACUUGAGGAUUGAAACCCAAAGCAUUAGAGUCUGUAGGAAACUUGGAUUCAUCAAAAAUAACAUGUCUAGAUACUAACAGUUUCUGAUCUUUGAGAGAUAAGCAAAUAUACCCUUUGUAUUGUGUAGCAUACCCCAGAAAAAUACACUUAGUAGUUUUAGGUUCAAGUUUAUUGCUUCUAUAGGGUUUCAAUGAAUGAUAGCAUAAACAACAAAAAAUUCUCAAAUGAUCAAGCUUAGGUGGAGAUUUAUAUAGCAUUUCAAAAGGAGACUACAUAUGUAGGGUAGGUGUGGGCAUUCUGUUUAUAAGAAAAGUAGCAGUGGCACACGAAUGGAACUAGAAUUUUGAAGGUUGAAACUUGUUGUAAAAAGGUAAUAGCUGUUUCGACAAUAUGUUGAUUUUUUCUCUCAGCCAACCCAUUAUGUUAUGGGGUAUAAGGACAAGAUUUUUGAUGAACAAUGCCUUUGGUAAGAAGAAAUUGCUUAAACUGAGUAUUAACAUAUUCCCCACCCCCAUCACUUUGCAAAAUUUUUACAUAAGCAUCAAAAUAAUUCGAGACAAAAGCAAGAAAGUUGACAAAACAGUGAGGGACCCCAAACAUCUAUGUGAAUUACUUCAAAUGGAGUAAGUGACUUCGAAGCAAUUACAGGAAAAAUGGAGCUUGGUAAAAUUUGCCUUGCAAACAAGCUUUACAAGUAUGAGAUUGAGAGUUACAAGGAAAAGAUAUACAAGACUUAUUAAGUGCUGCAGUGACAAUGGAAUGUGCAGGAUGGCCUAAUCGACAAUGCCACAAUGUAGAAUACAUCUUUUGACCCACAAAUGCAAUUGGAUUAAAAACAGGAGAAAUAGACCUAUGUGGUUUGAUUAUGGGAAGUGGAUAGACAACAUUAUUACUCAGCCCUUGGAAUAGCACUUUCCCGGUGACCUUGUCUUGUAGAUAGAGAGAAACAUCAUCAAUGAUACAAUGACACUGAUUAUCUUUGCACAACUGAUUCAUAGAUAAUAAGUGUUGUGACAGUUUUGGAACAUGUAACACAAAGUUUAACUUGAAAUUAUGUGACUUAGUGAGAAGAGAAGAGGAACCAAUAUGUUUGAUAGCUAAACCUUCACCACUAGCACUGGUCACAGUAUCAUUUGAUGGAUAAAUUUGUUGCCAUGUGCAAGUUUGACAAAUCUGAGGUCAUAUGGUUAGUUGCUCCCAAGUCAAGAAACCAUAAAUCUUGUUGAAGAGUUGAGGAUGAUGCACCAGCUCGUGCUUGUAUAGCAAGAGGAGGAUUUUGUGAGGAUAUAGUUGAGAGAUACAUAUGUGGUAUGACAUGAUACUGAAACUGGGAGCUAUUAGACCGUGGAAUCAUGCCUUGUGAAGGACCACAUGGAUUCUAGCUAGGUGCUUCGCCAUAUGACCCAGCAGGCAUUGGAGUUGGCAUAGAUGAGGAUAAACCCUGAGAGAAAUGCUUUGAUGUGCCUGUGAAAUUCUUAUUUCGAUCAAAGCAAGUAGCAGCAACAUGGCAAUUUCUGUGACAAAUUUGACAUCCAUGUUGAAAACAAUUCAAUGCAAAAUAAACUUUGCGAUCACAUAUUUGCAGAAAGGCCUUUGCAACCCUAGAAAGAAGAAGGAGCAAAGAAGACCAAAUGUGUACGUUUCUCUUUGGUUUUUUUUCCCUCUUAAUCACGCUGUUCGAAAUCACGGACCUCGGGCCUGGGCCUAGUGGGCCCAAUUAUGAGGCCCAUUAUCUCCGGUCUUCUCGUUCUACUUCUAGUUACCCAAAUUAAGAACGUACUGGUUCGCUUUUAGCGCGAGAGAGAAAUGGAGGCCCUGAUUGCCUCGUACGGAGACUCGUCGUCGGGCUCAGACUCCGAGUCGCCGGCUCCACCUCCAUCACCACCUCCGGAGCUCAACAACCCUCAAGAACCGACCCCUGCGCUGCCUCCACCUCCUCUGUCACUUCUCGACAACCCCAAUUCCUUCGGUAACCUCUGAUUCCCAUCAAUUUUCAUCUUUUAGCUUUCUGUUGUGAUGGCUUUUUCCGAGUUGCCCACCAAGUAUUUGAUGUUUUGCCUCUGAAGGAUUUCUGGACUUCUCGGCAAGCGCCCAGCCGAGCAGAGUUCGGAACUUUCCUCACGUCGAAGGGAACUACGCAGUACAUGUAUACAUCCCAGGUUAUCAAAAUUCUCGAAAUUUUCAGCUCCAUUAGCAAAUGCGAUCGCUUUGCACUUAGUUUUUGCUUGUUUAAUUCUGUGGUCAGUUUAUAUACCACCAGCACCAAGGAAAGAGAUGGCCUUGUUUUUGAACAAGCUAGCUUCUCUGGUGCCUGGUCUCCAUGCGGUUGACGUUGACUUCCUGCUUGACAUUCUGCGUAAGGACGAGCACAAGCUUGAACAAGUUGCUUUAGGCAGAGAGUUCCAUAUAAGUCUCGGAAGAACUGUUCCGAUUCGGGUGCACCAGAUUGAUUCCUUGGUGACAAUGCUGCGGCAGAAGCUUCAGAUUCAGAGGCGGUAUGGUUACAUUUACAUUCUCUUGUCUGCAUUGCGUGAAUUUAGUUCUGUUAUUUAACAUAAUUCUGUAAGCCUGCAAAUUUUUCGUCCAUUUUCAGUUUAACACAUUUUGUUAUUGUGAAACAAGUAUUGGAUUGAUUUUAGCAAGUGGUAGGUUUUUGUUAAUGAUGAUCAGACCCGGACCUUUGUGUCUAUCGAAAUCAUUGCUGCUGGGUUAGCUGAGGUAUGAUUGCUAGCUUUCUCUCUUGGUGCAAUUCUAAAUGUUUUCAGUUGUUAUAUGGGCUUAAGAUUUAGCAAGGACUUGCCGAAAGUCAUGGGAUUUUGAAAUAUCGAGAUCUUGCUUGCUUAUUAGCUUAGAUUUGGUCUUCGAUGCACUUGUAACAUGAAAAACACAAACGAAAACUAAUGCAUGAUAUGCUCAUGGUUUUAACAUGUGUUGUCCUGGCGUAAAUCAUGUUCCUAAUCAUGUCAUGUGAGUAUAAGCCUAUGAAACUUAGGGCAUGUUUGGCGGGCUGGACAAGAUUGGAAUUGGUAUUUCAGACUAGUUAGGUUAGGAUUGAACUGGAUAGGAUAGGUUUUUUGUCUAAAGAUUGGUGUAGACUGUCUUAACCAGACUAGGAACGAUGGGAUUUAAAACGUGAAACAGAUCGGCGACAUCCCAACGAUGACCCGCCCACCCAACAACUCUGCUCGUGACUUGCAACACCUCUCGUACCCUCCACGCCCCUUGCGGCCCGUCAGACCACUCUGAUAUCCUGGAGGAGUGAAACGUGGUUACUAGAAGCAUACCUGUUUUCGUAUUAAUGCACGGUUGAAUCAGCUUUCAUUGUCUACAAGUCUGAAAUAUUUUAACUUCCAUUGAUUUCAGAUAACAAAGCAGAUUCAAGCUGUGAAUGAGGUGUAUAAGCUUCACAAUCAUCCUAAAUUUUACAAGGUUAGCUUUUUCGUCCUUUUCAAACUCGAAUCGCUUCCUGAAUAUAUGACAAUAUAUUGGAUCAAAUGAUUUCUCAAAAAACUAAUUCACUUGAUGGGGUCUUGGUGAUCACAGGAUCCACGCCCUCACAUCUCGGUAGCUUGGGCAUUGGGUGACAUCAGCAAUUCCCUGAACAAAGUGGUUGAAGAAGAAAGACGAAGAUCUACCAUCGGAGGAUCGUUACAGAAAUGUAUUUUUACCAGUAAAUUCAAUGGUAUCGAAUGUAGGAUUGGUAAUAAGACACACAAAAUAUGUAAAUUUUCUGAAGAAUAAUGUAGCCAUUUAACUGUAUUGUGAAAUUCCGAGAAUAUAUCACUGAGCAUUGGAUGAGAAGACAUUUCUUCGUUGGUGUCGAACUUCUUGUCGAAGGUAUUGGCACCAGUGUAAACGUCAUCAUCCAUGUUGAUGGUAAUUACUUCCCAGCUACUAAGGGUGUCGGAACAGCCUUGCACGCAGCCUCCUGUGCAUUACUUGGUAUUGUCUCAGAUUCUCCAAACUUGAAUGCUAAUGUAAACCCACUCUUGACCUUUCCGUCAUCUGCGAUUACCGGAAUGCCGGCUUGGAUGUUGCCGUUGACCUACCGAACUUAAAAUACCGACGAAAUGUUGGAGUACUUAAGUGUACUACUCGUUUUUGUAUGCGAGAGCUCCACCUCUAUCGUUGUAACAGCAUCUGAUGCGGACUAGUCCUUCAUUCCCGUUACUCUUUGCCAUCUCCACUUCGAACUUGGCGUGAUGGCUCCCGGCCUCCUCUCCGGUGAAAUUGAGUAACCCCGGAGCUGGCGUGCCAUCAAGAUUUCCGUCGUGUCUCUAUUUGCUGUUGUGGUUUGGUUUCACCACUAUAAACUUGGCAGAGUUGGCAUUUUCAUUCUGUUGUCUGUAUAUCUUGAUAUUACAAGUAUUUGUUGUGCAAAAUGCAUGCUAAGUUCAACUUAUGUUUAUAUGUGUGUGUGUGUGUGUUGCCACUUUUCCAACGUUUUCUCCAAAAUUGUGACGAGCAACAAAGCAGUUUUGAUUCCGUGCACAACAACGAUACCUCGAAAGAAAUUGAUUCUUCCCCAGAAAGAUGUUUUAAAACAAAGUUGAACAAGGGAAGAAAACUUUUGAAUCGCAAUCAGAUGUCUGGUCAAAUUCUUUAACAGUUGAUGUAUACAGAAGUUCCUUGCUUAUGACACGACUUAUGAGAGGAUGUAUGUAUUGCAUUUGCAUCAAAAGAAAGAAAGAAGGUUGUAAGUGGUAAGGGAACGACUACCGAUGCCGCUCCACUUCUAAUCAAAGGGAUCGAUCCGAGGGUCGUGUUCACUUGCCAUCGCCAUUCCAGUGCAAAGGCAUGUCGGGCACAUUACCUGCCACAUUUACAGACGCAAUGUUAGAUAUAGCUGCCAUUUGGAAGUCAUCUCUCAAAAUUUUGCUACUAAAUCAAUCUUAAACUUCAUUUCCAGUGCAAUUUUUUUCUUCUGAAUUGUCUUUCACAUGCCCGACAAAUAGAAGUAUCACCAAACAUGUGAAUAUAGAGCAUCUAAGCGGCAGGCACUAAAAGGAAUUUAGUAUGCAAUAAACAUUCAACGGACAUAAUUAUAUGUCUAACCUUUCCCGCUCCUGAGCAAUUUGAACAUCGUUCAGUUUUUGGCAGAGAUAGGGGUUGGUUUCCGCCAUCAGCUGUCGAUACUGGUUCAGUAAGAACAAGGGUUCCAGUGCUGGAGCAACGAGCACAAGCAAGAGAUCCUGCGUAAGUAUCAAAUACACAGGUAAGUUGACAUACGAAACCAAUCCGAACAUCUCCAUCGUAUAUAUUUAAAGCUACAGUACAUAAACUAAAAGUCAGAAAUAUAGGACAUUAUCACACCAGUUCCAAGACAAUAUUUGCAUCGUUUAUGCUCCUGCUGUUUCACAUUGUUUAUUUCAACUACCAUCAAUGCUGAGAUCACUCCGACUGCUCCUCCAGAGAAUGACGCCACUAUGGGAUCAACUUGACUGCAGUUUGAAAGUAAAGGAGAUCAAUAAACGAAACUGGUAACAACAUAGUAUCAACAUUAUUUAGCUUCGUUUCAAGAAAGAUGACAUCCUAGGUUUUUCUAAUGUGUAAAAAUUGAGGAUCCUCGUAAAAUUUGACCAUAUCGGUUCCCAAAGCAUUUGAUUCCUACGUUACAGACGGAAAACAGCAACAAUCGAAUUUAAAGAUUCAUAACACGAUAGAUGGUACAAAAUUUCAAAACGAUAAUUACUAGAGAACAGGAGGGUUAAUAGCCUGAGAUAUGAGCAAUACCUCAACUGCAACGGCAGAUGCAUAUUUACUAUAAAGUCUUUAUAUGAUGUGCCUCCUAUUCCCAGCUUCAACUCCAACUGAAAGAUGUAAAGGUAAUUGUAGGCAAAGAGUUACAAACAUAACCGAAUCCAUGUUUUAUAAGCAACAACUACACUUAUUUUGAUAUGUUUCCUCAUUUUUUACUUGCAAAUUCCGAACCAUAUUGUCGGACCAGUAAAAGAAAAUAAUGUUUAUGAUAACUGUUAAAACUAAUUACAACAAGUUAAUGCAUAAAGAACUUACGGAGGGUGCUAUGAGGCCACCGAAAAGGAUAAACCCCACAAUAAUUGAAUAACAAACAGCAUAAUACUGCUUAAGGUUGUCUGAACUCUGCAAGCAAUGAAUUCACCUUGUGAUUAAUACUUUGCACAAACACUAGUUUUCGCAAUUUUUUAUGAAUCGACAAAAGGCUACAACAAAAUAUGGCUAAAACAUGUCGGGGAUAUGAAAAUACAUGUCUUCACAGGGGCACCAGCUUACCAGGGGAGGCAAAAAUGGAAUGAACGAUGGAAAACUAGGAAGUUCGUUUUCUUGAUCUUCAUUUACCGCUCCAAGCUCUGCACGUUUAAUCCGCUGUUGUAUCCUCAGCCUGCGAACCUACGCAUAUCGAAGCUCAUUCUUAAAGAACACAUUUCUAAUGGCAAUUGGAGAGUAAUUUAAAACAUGCUAAACUGAGAAAGUGGUAGCAACUAGUAAUUGCUCUCACCUCCUCCAUAUGCAAGAAAAUUUUGUUGCGACGACUCCGAAUAUUAUCUUGAAUUUCCUGCAGCUCCAUUGUGGCAAAAUCCUGCACUGUUUCAGGCCCCUCUAUGAUACAAAAUCUGCACCAUUAAGCAUGUAAAAAUUAAAAAUUACAGGCUACAAAGCAAUUUCCGUAUAGUUGUUGGGUUAAAUAACAUCAACAGCAAAUAAAUCACAUAGGUUUUUCACAUAAAGUUACAAACUUUCAAGGACUAAUAAGCUGUCUGCAAUCUCAUAAAUUUCACAGUGCAAAGUAACAAUCCAAAGCUUGGAACUUUAAAUUUCCACCUUCUGUUAAUUUUUUAGUGCACCUGGUGUCGUUAGAUUCGAGUAGUAUGUCACAUUAAAUUUUUUUUUUCUGUGCAUGCAUUUUUUUUUAAAAGAAAAUUUUAUAUUGUUAAAGAGCGAGUUCGAAACUAUUACAUUAUGGAAGGACAUAGUACCGAAACUCCGACGAUCAAAAACAAAAUCAUGUACAACCACUCCAAGCAGUCAACAUGGCCAUCACAUAUUGAAUCCAAAAUGUUGACGCCCCAUUCGCUGCAUAUAAUGUACAGACGAGCGGCAGCUUCAACCAGUUCUGCCAUAUCCGGCUGGAUGAGAGCAGCUAAAGACAUGAUUGUUCCCUAAUAACAUGAAUAAAUUGAGUAAACACCAAAAGUAGCAGCAAGGGAAGGAGAUGUGAAGUAUAUGAAGAGGUGUAAGACCUGUGAAUGUCCAGCAACAAAGAUUUUGGAGCUUGUUGUCGAAUAAUGCAACGCAUCAUUUCUGGUAGAUCAAAUAGAGCCAAUUCCCGCCAACUCCAAUUCCAAAAUUUCUACAGUAAAGCAUAAAUCUUAUUCUCUCUUCUGAUAAAGAUGAGUGUCCCAGACUCCAACGUGUUCCACACACAUUCCCUACCCAUACAUCGAAACCUUCAUCUGCAAGGACGAAUCCCAGCGAUUCUUCUGGAGAAUUUAAGAAUCAUGCAUCACCUGGUUAAGAUCAAGAAAAGCCAGUAACCAAGUUCAAUUGAGUUAAAAUGUAUCCCAUGGAUGUUCAUCACUUUGCCCAAUUGUUCUUUUCAAGAAAGGAAAUUUCAACAGAACCUGAAAACUUCAGAUCAGGGGGCACCAAAUAGUGAGCUAUACAUUCAAAAUUUGAAAUAAUCAACUUAGUAGGACCAGUAUGUUGAAAAAAUGGGAAGGAGCUAUGAAAGUAAGACUUUUCACUAAUCAGGCGUCCAGAGAAUCCAUAUUUUACCCGCGUAUCAGUUACGGGGAACACUCCCCACCAGAGCAAUCUCAUUAGUCCUUCACAUCUCAACCGUACAGAAGUUGCACUAACAAACAUGACUCCUAUUAGUCCUUCACAUCUCAAAUCCAGGAAGUACCCAUCUUUCGUCUGAAUCUGGAAAAUAAGCAGCAGUCAAUUUAACAAUCUCGGUAUCUCAAAGUUACUCACUUUAAUCACAAAUUUAGCAAUUAAACAUAUAAAUGGGCAUUUUUUUAGGGAAAUAUUAGUAUAGUACUCACUGUGUGCUCGGAGCAAGAGUACCCAGAAAGCUCAAUGAGCUGCGCACAGAGGACUGCAGUGGUGAACGACAGCGACCAAUUCUGUAAAAUUUAGUCGAGUUUUGGGAAAUUUCUGCAGCGAUUUCGGAGGUCAAGAGGCUGAUAAGGAAAGCCGCGACCAAAGGGCACUGGUCUGGAAGAAAGGCUUUGGUCGCCGCUAUCGCAAUUCGCGAAGGAAGAAGUGCCCCAAAACAAUUUCGGCCCUGGACAGGUGCACUGUUUGCACUGAGCCAGGGCCGGCCCUGAAUCGCGAUAACGUCCUUCUCCAAACAGUAUAUAUACAGAUGCUAGAAAAAUCUACCGGAACUAUUCAAUUCUAGCGUCUACAGCUUUAGCAUUAGUUGGUACAAGGGGCAUUCUUCCAAAGAGGGAGAUGAAAUCGUUGAGGCACCAAAUAGUGAGCUAUACAUUCAAAAUUUGAAAUAAUCAACAUGGUAGGACCAAUAUGUUGAAAAAAUUGGAAGGAGCUAUGAAAGUAUGGCUUUUCACUAAUCAGGCGUCCACAUAAUCAAUAUUUUACUCACAGAUCAUUUACGGGGAACACUCCCCACCAAAACAAUCUUUUUAGUCCCUCACAUCUCAAACCAAGUAGAAAUUGCAGUAACAAACACAUCUCAAACCCAGUAAGUACCCAUCUUUCGUCUGAAUCUGGAAAACAAGCAGCAGUGGAUUCAACAAUCUGGGUAUCUCAAAGUCACUCACUUUAAUCACAAAAUUAACAAUUAAACAUAUAAAUGGGCAUUUAUUUAGUGAAAUAUUAGUAUAGUACUCACUGUGUGCUCGGAGCAAGAGUACCCAGAAAGCUCAAUGAGCUGCGCACAGAGGGACUGCAGCGGUGACGACGGCAACCGAUUCUGUAAAAUUCAGUCGAGUUUUGGGCGAUUUCUGCAGCGAUUUCGGAGGUCAAGAGGCUGAUAAGGAAAGCUGGGACGGAAGGGCACUGGUCUGGAAGAAAGGCUCAGGACACCGCUGUCCCGAUUCAUGAAGGAAGAAGUGCCCCCAAAACAAUUUCGGCUCUGGACAGGUGUACUGUUUGCACUGGACCAGGGUCGGCCCUGGCGAUAACGUCCCCCAAACAGCACAUAUACAGAUGCUAGAAAUAUAUAAAUGUAACCUGAAACUACUAGAACCAUUCAAUUCUAGCGUCUACAGCUUUAGCAUUAGUUGGUACAAGGGACAUUCUUCCAAAGAGGGAGAUGAACUCAUUGAGGCUCUUAUUUAUUCCUCCUCUUGAUGUGCCCUUUUAGGCUGCUAAUUCCACACGAUCCAAUUUCAUACAUCUUCCCUGCAAAAGCAUGUGUGCCUGACUUCAAGAUCAAAUUUUUCCAACAAAAGAAACUUAAAGAUCAAACUCGCUAGCGGAAUAAGUGGUGCACAAGGGUGUUAAAAUCUUGACAUAUGUAUAUUUUUGGCAGAUUUUAUGUGAGCAUGCAACUAAAACUGGCAUCACUAUCAAUGGUGCACAAAGAUUGGUGGAAAACUUUAACAGUUUGAGUUGUAACUUCUCCAUUGUAUUUGUUAAGGCAAGACGGAUGUCAUCUAUUCAUUUUUCUGUAAAACUUAAAAGGCUGCAUAGCAGCUCUUGUUCGUUGUAUUGAAUACCAUGGUUUUACUGAUGAAUGCAGAGUUUGCUGAUGAUUCAUACGACAAGCAAUUGAAAAUCCCAUCAUUAUGCCCCGCAUAUACCAGAAGAAAAAAAAGUCAUUUACACAAAUUCAGAGCGUUCAUCCACUGUAAUUUGCAGAUAUGGAAACGUUAAGAUAAAAGGAAAUGCAAAGUACCUUUCACCCAAAUUGGAGGAGCAACGGUGGCAUUAGCAAGCUAGCAACGGGAAUUGACAUACCAAUAUCUUCACAGUUUCUGCACAAGAACAAAUCAAAAGAAUCCGGCGGUGGAGUUAUGUACCUCUCCUUGGAAAAUGCCACCUCCUGGGAUUUCAAAAUAUACGGCCGUGGCUAGCCGUCUGACCACGCCAAUUCCACCAAAGCCGCCGCAACGUGGCGUAGUGUCCGGUUGAUUGCUUCAAAACAGAGCUUCGUAUCCAUGUGUUUAUCAGCAGAGAGUACCCAAAACCCCUGAAAAUUAUUUCUUUAUUCAGAUAAUAAAAUUUCCCAAAUUUCGAAUUUUAAUUCCGAACAAAAAAAAUAGGGUUUGAAUUUUGAUUACCUAGAAAUUGGGGGGUUGGGGUGGAGAGGGACUCGGGCCAAGACACAGAUAUGCAUCCGUGAUAAGGUGUGCAAGGCUUUUGCAGUUUCUCAGAUCUAAACACUGAAGCCCCGUAAGCCGUUCAAUCCAGGGGGAAAGCUCUUUAAUAGAUGUUCCAUCCAAGAAAAGAAAUCUUAAUCCUUCCAUAUUUUCUUCAAUGCUUGGAAACACCUCAAAUUUUGUACAACCGGAAAGAGAGAGAAAGGCAAGGGACUUCAGCUGACAAAUGCUACUUGGAAGACUCUUAAGUUCUUUACAAUUUUCUAGCUUCAAAUGAUUCAAUCCCAUGAGAUUAUUAAUUGAUAAGGGCAGUUCUUUAAUUUUCGACCCAGAUAAAUCAAGAACUUUUAACCCCUCAAUCACUUCUGAAAUCUCUGGAAACAUCUCAAGACUCCAGCAACCAUAAAGAUCAAAGGUUUUGAGAGAUUUCAUAUGAAUGCUGCUUGGAAGACUCUUAAGUUCCUUGCAAUCUUGUAGAUUCAAAUGACACAACCUCGUAAGAUUAUUAAUUGACGGGGACAGUUCUUUAAUUUUUGAGCAGGGUAAAUCAAGCUUUUCUAACCCCUCAAUACCUUCUGAAAUCGAUGGAAACAUCUCAAGACUGGAGCAGCCAUAAAGAUUAAAGGUUUUCAGACAUUUCAUAUGAAUGCAGCUUGGAAGACUCUUAAGUUUCUUGCAAUCUUUUAGGUUGAAAUGACUCAACCCCGUGAGAUUAUUAAUUGACAGGGGCAGUUCUUUAAUUUUGGACCCGGAUAAAUUAAGCUCUUCUAACUCCUCCAUACCUUCUGAAAUCUCUGGAAACAUCUCAAGACUGGAGCAGCCAGAAAGAUUAAAGGUUUUGAGAGAUCUCAUACGAAUUUUGCUGGGUAGAAUCUUAAGUUCCUUGCAAUUUGAUAGGUUCAAAUGACACAACCCCAUGAGAUUAUUAAUUGACUCGGGCAGUUCUUUAAUUUUGGACUCGGAUAAAUUAAGCUCUUCUAACUCCUCCAUACCUUCUGAAAUCUCUGGAAACAUCAGAAGACUGGAGCAGCCAAAAAGAUUAAAGGUUUUGAGAGAUCUCAUACGAAUUUUGCUAGGUAGAAUCUUAAGUUCCUUGCAAUUUGAUAGGUUGAAAUGACUCAACCCCAUGAGAUUGUUAAUUGACUCGGACAGUUCUUUAAUUUUGGACCCGGAUAAAUCAAGCUCUUCUAACCCCUCAAUCACUUCUAAAAUCUCUGGAAACAUCUCAAGGCUCACGCAGUUAAUAAGAUCAAGAGUUUUGAGAGAUUGCAUACGAAUUUUACUAGGUAGAAUCUUAAGUUUUUCGCACCCAUUCAGAUCCAAUAAAACAAGUUUUGUAAGAUUCGAAAUAGAUGGGUGAACCUUAACUAACCCUAUACAACCAUGAAGAAUUAGCCUCUCAAGAUUUGGCACAUUUGUGAAGUCAGGGGUUUCCUUAAGGUAUUCACAAUAACUUAAAUUGAUGAAUUUCAACUUUUCCUGCGUCUGUUAAAACAUUCAGGAAAACAUGCAUUACUUAAUAAGACAUCUCACUCAAAGCCCAAACAUUUAAAAGAAACAAAUACAUGUAAAUGAUUGUACAUACCUGGGUUCCUUCCCAAAGUCGGUCAAUG